GUGGGGAAUUUUGGACAAUGGGCGCAAGCCUGAUCCAGCAAUGCCGCGUGCAGGAAGAAGGCCUUCGGGUUGUAAACUGCUUUUGUACGGAACGAAACGGCUCUGGUUAAUACCCGGGGCUAAUGACGGUACCGUAAGAAUAAGCACCGGCUAACUACGUGCCAGCAGCCGCGGUAAUACGUAGGGUGCAAGCGUUAAUCGGAAUUACUGGGCGUAAAGCGUGCGCAGGCGGUUUUGUAAGACAGGCGUGAAAUCCCCGGGCUCAACCUGGGAAUGGCGCUUGUGACUGCAAAGCUGGAGUGCGGCAGAGGGGGAUGGAAUUCCGCGUGUAGCAGUGAAAUGCGUAGAUAUGCGGAGGAACACCGAUGGCGAAGGCAAUCCCCUGGGCCUGCACUGACGCUGAGGCGCGAAAGCGUGGGGAGCAAACAGGAUUAGAAACCCGGGUAGUCC
rnacentral:rRNA from 1 species